UGCCAGCAGCCGCGGUAAUACGGAGGGUGCAAGCGUUAUCCGGAUUUAUUGGGUUUAAAGGGUGCGUAGGCGGAAUAAUAAGUCAGUGGUGAAAUCCUGCGGCUCAACCGUAGAACUGCCAUUGAUACUGUUAUUCUUGAGUCAUUAUGAAGUGGUUAGAAUGUGUAGUGUAGCGGUGAAAUGCAUAGAUAUUACACAGAAUACCGAUUGCGAAGGCAGAUCACUAAACUAUUAUUGACGCUGAGAUGCGAAAGCGUGGGGAGCAAACAGGAUUAGAUA
rnacentral:rRNA from 1 species